UUGAAGGUGACUGAAUAGAACAAUAGAUAGAUCUCACAUGAGUGAGAGGAAUUCUACAGCAGGUAGUCUUUGCCUUUGAACUGCAGCAUGAACUCUCCUCUGGGUCUCCCACCUGCCAGCCCACCCUGCAGAGUUUGCAUUUGCUAGCCUCCACAAUCGGAAAUGGCAGCAUUAUAGUCGUAUUUGACCUUUUCUUUGCCCAGUGGGUGUCAGAUGAAAAUGUAAAAGAAGAACUGAUUCAAGGCCUUGAAGCAAAUAAAUCCAGCCAACUGGUCACUUUCCAUAUUGAUUUGAACAGCGUUGAUAUCCUAGGAAAUGUCUCAAUAGAGUGCCUGCCUGGUUCAAGUCCUUGUACUGAUGCUCUAACGUGUAUAAAAGCUGAUUUAUUUUGUGAUGGAGAAGUAAACUGUCCAGAUGGUUCUGACGAAGACAAUAAAAUGUGUGCCACAGUU
rnacentral:lncRNA from 1 species